rnacentral:rRNA from 1 species
GAUGAACGCUGGCGGCGUGCCUAAUACAUGCAAGUCGAGCGAACGGACGAGAAGCUUGCUUCUCUGAUGUUAGCGGCGGACGGGUGAGUAACACGUGGAUAACCUACCUAUAAGACUGGGAUAACUUCGGGAAACCGGAGCUAAUACCGGAUAAUAUUUUGAACCGCAUGGUUCAAAAGUGAAAGACGGUCUUGCUGUCACUUAUAGAUGGAUCCGCGCUGCAUUAGCUAGUUGGUAAGGUAACGGCUUACCAAGGCAACGAUGCAUAGCCGACCUGAGAGGAUGAUCGGCCACACUGGAACUGAGACACGGUCCAGACUCCUAAGGGAGGCAGCAGUAGGGAAUCUUCCGCAAUGGGCGAAAGCCUGACGGAGCAACGCCGCGUGAGUGAUGAAGGUCUUCGGAUCGUAAAACUCUGUUAUUAGGGAAGAACAUAUGUGUAAGUACCUGUGCACAUCUUGACGGUACCUAAUCAGAAAGCCACGGCUAACUACGUG